GCCUGGGUGGCUCAGUCGGUUGAGCGUCUGACUUCGGCUCAGGUCAUGAUCUCGCGGUCCGUGAGUUCGAGCCCCGCAUCGGGCU
rnacentral:tRNA from 1 species